rnacentral:lncRNA from 1 species
AUGAAGAAAUCCUUUGACAGACGCGGCAGACCUCCAAAAGAGACGCCUGCCACAGAUUUGACGCCAAUUGAGAUUCGUACACAAGUGACCAGAGUCAAUGGAAAAACUGCAUUGAAAGCUUCCAACUGCAACGCAGAUGGCAUCACGCACCAGGGAAGCAUUGCCAGCACUCCACAAGUUGCGUCUGAUAGUGUUGCAUCAACCACAUUUUUGGAUGAACAUUGUCCGCUCACUCCGUCUUCAAUUAGAGGAGAGGAUUCUUCCUCUAAGUAUUUGUCUCCGACAAUAUUUUCCAGGUCUAAUCUUUCAGGAAUUGUAAUGUAUGAGGGUGAGGUGCAAACCAUAGGCACCUCGGGCCACUAUGUUGCAUAUGCCCUAGAUCGGAAUGGACGAUGGAGGCUGGAUUUAUAAUUGACUGUUCCCAGAAAGGAGAAAAAUCAUUCAUUAGAAACUCAUACUCAUUUUAUUGUAUCGUCAUUUCUUUCCUCCAGUUUCUUAAUUACAUAAGUAUCUGCUGUCUCUAAUUUCUGGGCGACUAAUGAGAUAAAUCACUCUAACUUAUCUUUCCAAGUUUUUGAGAUGAAAUUUCAGUGAACACCUCUUUUUCAAAUAGUGUUCAGAAGUUUUAAGUCUGUGAUGAAACUUAGAAGAAGUAUAUUUCAUCAUUUUUGAAUGCCAUAAUCCUCUCAGGUAUUCUUUACGUCUCCAAACUUUAAUCUGGUCCCAGGACAAAAUGAUUCAAUCCGUUAAAAAAAAAACCAAUUGUUUAUUUUUAUUAACUUUUGAGAGAGAGUUGAACUUUUUCAACAAGGCAUUUUUUAGAAAUUCCCAAUCUAAAUCUUCAAAACAUCCCUUCACAAUGGGAACUAAGUAUCUGAGAUUCUAGCUUCUUCUGAUGAGAGUAACCCUUUCUUUUAUCGCCUUUGAAAGUUCAUUGUAUUCAUUCAUUAUUUCAGCCGGAUAAAACUUUCAUUUGCCUCUUCUGAGUCAUUUGCGUACCUUUGUGAUGUUAGAUUCAGCAUUAUGAUUAAAGUCAUUGAUAUGAAGGAAUUGUUGAAAAGCUCCUGUAGUCAUGGAAUAGCGGGGAGAGAUAGGCUCUUGUCAGUGGCAAAUUAGAAUUUAGCCUCCGAGGAAUGAAAAUUAGCUCACUAGAAGUUUGGCUCGUUUUCUUCAUAGUUUCCUUUGAUGACAGUAAUUGAUAUAGUUCGUAGUAGACAGUAGUUCGGUGAUGAUUUUAUUCCCUUUUAUCUUACUUUGGGAAAUAUAUCAAAAUCCUAAUCGUUCUCCAACUUGUAAAAGAAAUACUCACUUACUUAUCAUGAGGGUAACGACGGUGAUCCACAAUGAGGAAAAGCAGUUGAAUCAUUUAAUUUCAGGCGGGGAGGAGUCACAUUUUCUUCUUUAGAAACUGAUUUAAAACCGAAAAGCCAAAAUAAUGAUGAAAAGUGAGAUUUCUCACUUACAAAUCACGAAACUAUUUCACUUCACACAACGCGAUGGAUUUGUUUGUUUUCAUUCGCACAUUUGAGGAAACUUUGAGGUUAGGUUUCGUAGGUAACAAUAACAAACAUUGGAAAACACGGGAGGAAGAAUCACAGACCUCGAAGUGGAGUCAGCAAUUAAAAAACGCUGAAUUCAAUUUAACUUUGUUUGGGCUGAAAUUUUCGGAGCAUCAAUUUAAAGCAAUGGGCUUGAAAUUUGCGAUUUAGAUUAAGAAAAUUAAGGGGUUAAUUUUAAAGAAAACUCGCUCCUUCUCAUGCAGUUGCUCAGAACUCACAUGAGGUGCCCUCACCUCUGAAAAUUAGCCGGCUUCAAUUCUUAAUUUUCUACGAUGAAAUUUUGAGUGUAGAUCAAUUUAACGUCUGGCAACAGAAGUGCGAUUCCAAAAAUCCGAUAUUCUGACUCUUUUUUUCAAAGAGAGUCCAUUUUCGUCACGAGAGUCGCGUAAUGGCGGCUUUUCGAAUUUCGCGGUUCUUUGUCGACCGUGGCGCGAUCUCUUAUCACAGAUUCUCAACUCGACAAGCCAUCGAAUCACCUUAAAAAGUGAGUGGUAUAUUGCACUAAGCCCGCUGACGUCAGUGCGGUAAUUACACACAGAAUCCCCAUGCUUGAGGAUUUCGAUCAUUUCCAGGACCAGUCUGGGAAACAACUUCUCUUCCUUACAUAAAACUACCACUUUAUCAAAAUCGAACCGAAAUGACUCAGUGUUGAGUCGAAACGUCUCGGGUUUCAUAAUUGUGUAUUUUUAGCCUUGUUUCCCGUUUUUCA